rnacentral:rRNA from 1 species
CCUUUCCAAGGUUGUGGGGGGGGGGGAAGGGCUUACCAAAGGGGGAGGAACGGGUAACCCGCCCUUGAGAGGGCGACCCGGCCCACAUUGGGAUUGAGACACGGCCCCAGAUUCUUACGGGAGGCAGCAGUGGGGAAUAUUGCCCAAUGGGCGAAAGCCUGAUGCAGCGACGCCGCUUGAGGGAUGACGGCCUUCGGGUUGUAAACCUCUUUCAGCAGGGAAGAAGCGAGAGUGACGGUACCUGCAGAAGAAGCGCCGGCUAACUACGUGCCAGCAGCCGCGGUAAUACGUAGGGCGCGAGCGUUGUCCGGAAUUAUUGGGCGUAAAGAGCUCGUAGGCGGCUUGUCACGUCGGAUGUGAAAGCCCGGGGCUUAACCCCGGGUCUGCAUUCGAUACGGGCAGGCUAGAGUUCGGUAGGGGAGAUCGGAAUUCCUGGUGUAGCGGUGAAAUGCGCAGAUAUCAGGAGGAACACCGGUGGCGAAGGCGGAUCUCUGGGCCGAUACUGACGCUGAGGAGCGAAAGCGUGGGGAGCGAACAGGAUUAGAUACCCUGGUAGUCCACGCCGUAAACGUUGGGAACUAGGUGUGGGCGACAUUCCACGUCGUCCGUGCCGCAGCUAACGCAUUAAGUUCCCCGCCUGGGGAGUACGGCCGCAAGGCUAAAACUCAAAGGAAUUGACGGGGGCCCGCACAAGCGGCGGAGCAUGUGGCUUAAUUCGACGCAACGCGAAGAACCUUACCAAGGCUUGACAUACACCGGAAACGGCCAGAGAUGGUCGCCCCCUUGUGGUCGGUGUACAGGUGGUGCAUGGCUGUCGUCAGCUCGUGUCGUGAGAUGUUGGGUUAAGUCCCGCAACGAGCGCAACCCUUGUUCUGUGUUGCCAGCAUGCCUUUCGGGGUGAUGGGGACUCACAGGAGACUGCCGGGGUCAACUCGGAGGAAGGUGGGGACGACGUCAAGUCAUCAUGCCCCUUAUGUCUUGGGCUGCACACGUGCUACAAUGGCCGGUACAAUGAGCUGCGAUACCGUGAGGUGGAGCGAAUCUCAAAAAGCCGGUCUCAGUUCGGAUUGGGGUCUGCAACUCGACCCCAUGAAGUCGGAGUCGCUAGUAAUCGCAGAUCAGCAUUGCUGCGGUGAAUACGUUCCCGGGCCUUGUACACACCGCCCGUCACGUCACGAAAGUCGGUAACACCCGAAGCCGGUGGCCCAACCCCUUGGGGAGGGAGUCGUCGAAGGUGACUUCCAUCCC